AAAACAAAAAUAAAGUAAGAAGAAUCAGAGAGUGUCAAUAUA
rnacentral:guide_RNA from 1 species